GACGAACGCUGGCGGCGUGCUUAACACAUGCAAGUCGGACGGUAAGGCCCUUCGGGGUACACGAGUGGCGAACGGGUGAGUAACACGUGGGUGAUCUGCCCUGCACUUCGGGAUAAGCCUGGGAAACUGGGUCUAAUACCGGAUAGGACUCCGGACUGCAUGGUCUGGGGUGGAAAGCUUUUGCGGUGUGGGAUGGGCCCGCGGCCUAUCAGCUUGUUGGUGGGGUGAUGGCUUACCAAGGCGACGACGGGUAGCCGGCCUGAGAGGGUGACCGGCCACACUGGGACUGAGAUACGGCCCAGACUCCUACGGGAGGCAGCAGUGGGGAAUAUUGCACAAUGGGCGCAAGCCUGAUGCAGCGACGCCGCGUGAGGGAUGACGGCCUUCGGGUUGUAAACCUCUUUCAGCAUCGACGAAGCGAAAGUGACGGUAGGUGCAGAAGAAGGACCGGCCAACUACGUGCCAGCAGCCGCAGUAA
rnacentral:rRNA from 1 species